UACGGAGGGUGCAAGCGUUAUCCGGAUUCACUGGGUUUAAAGGGUGCGUAGGCGGGCAGGUAAGUCAGUGGUGAAAUCCCCGAGCUUAACUUGGGAACUGCCGUUGAUACUAUCUGUCUUGAAUAUCGUGGAGGUGAGCGGAAUAUGUCAUGUAGCGGUGAAAUGCUUAGAUAUGACAUAGAACACCAAUUGCGAAGGCAGCUCACUACGCGAUUAUUGACGCUGAGGCGCGAAAGCGUGGGUAGCAAACAGG
rnacentral:rRNA from 1 species